GGGUCGUUAGCUCAGCCGGUAGAGCAGCGGACUUUUAAUCCGUUGGUCGGCAGUUCGAAUCUGCCACGACCCACCA
rnacentral:tRNA from 3 species